rnacentral:rRNA from 1 species
AGCGAACGCUGGCGGCAGGCUUAACACAUGCAAGUCGAGCGGGCCCUUCGGGGUCAGCGGCAGACGGGUGAGUAACACGUGGGAACGUACCCUUUGGUUCGGAAUAACGCUGGGAAACUAGCGCUAAUACCGGAUACGCCCUUUUGGGGAAAGGCUUGCUGCCGAAGGAUCGGCCCGCGUCUGAUUAGCUAGUUGGUGGGGUAAUGGCCUACCAAGGCGACGAUCAGUAGCUGGUCUGAGAGGAUGAUCAGCCACACUGGGACUGAGACACGGCCCAGACUCCUACGGGAGGCAGCAGUGGGGAAUAUUGGACAAUGGGCGCAAGCCUGAUCCAGCCAUGCCGCGUGAGUGAUGAAGGCCUUAGGGUUGUAAAGCUCUUUUGUCUGGGACGAUAAUGACGGUACCGGAAGAAUAAGCCCCGGCUAACUUCGUG